rnacentral:lncRNA from 1 species
ACUGAGGACAACAGACCCAUACAGCGACUGGAGGGCCAAGUGAAAGCGACUCUUUUCUAACUUUAAUGUGCUUAACGCACACCAACCACAGAGGCAAGAAAGGGGAAGUGAUGAACAGGAAGGAAGGAACUCUGAUGAGGUGGAAGAAUGAGGCAGCUUCCGAGGGUGUAGGGGCCACAGACUGGCUACAAAAGAGCAAAUAAGUUUUGCAUCUAAAUUAAGAGGCAGUUCUUCAGUAGAUGCAGGUGUUCUCCUCCUGUGCACACCUUUUUACUGGGUUGUUGUUGAAAGCUGGCUCAGAAAUCCACAAGUGAUAAAGAGGUAAUUAGUAUCAAUAGGCUUGGAUCAGCUCCUCUUGUGUAAAGUCCAGCCUGGAACCUGUUUUCUUCCACAUUAGAUCGCAUGAUACCUGGUUAUGCUCCUGAGGGCUCCGCUACCCCUUUAGGGGCACAUACGAGAACAUCUCCCUUACUCUCCCCCCCACCCAUACCUGUUUUUCAUGAUGAGUCAGAAGAUGUUUCUGAAGCCACUCCCAAGAAACUUACAGUGAAGCCUUUAUAAAUAAUAAUAAUACUUUUCAUGAAAAAAGGCCCCAUGGGCCUAAGUUUCACUUCAUCAUUUUGGAUUUGUAAAGCAAGUAUUUGCAUUUUGAAACCUCAUCUCUUGCUGCCUUUUAAAAGUUUAAAAUAGAAUCGUGUCUGUCUGUAACUUUUAAUGAUUGACUUCUUUUAUGGGGAAGUAGGGGAAGAGUUAGCGUAUGUCUGAGAGGUAAUAGUUACCUCUGUGGCUUCCUUGCUUGUUGUUAAGCUGAGGAGCAAAGGCUCCGCCUCUCUCCAUUUUAUAGCCUCUUCAAGCACUUUGAAUUUUGGUUAAAAUGACUGACAAGUGCAUCAUAUCCACAUCGUGCACUGAAAGCACAUGGCUUCCCCCAAAGAAUCCUGGGAACUGUAGUUUAGCAAGCAUGCUGGGAAUUGUAGGUCUGCAAGGUGUCAGCUACAAUUCCCAGGAUUCUUUGGGGGAAGCUGUGUGCUUUAAAGGCGCUUUAAAUUUAUGACAUGGAUACGACCUAAUGAGCAAAGCAGUGACCUCUCAGCCACAAUCCUAGGAACACACAAAAUACUGGCUCUGAGCUUCAUUGCCCUAUUCUUUAACCCCCGAAAACAGGAGAAACAUUUUAUUGCCACAAUUGUUUUCAGAUGCAAAUGUCAUAUUUUUCUGGGAGUGCUUUAUGACCCCCCGAUUCCUAAUGGUUAUGGUAGAGAGGACAAAUCUAGGUUUUCUUAGCUCCCGGAGUGCCCAUGAAAGUCCAUUUACUAAUAAUAUACAAAUAGAAUGAAAUAUAUCUUGCCAAUCAAAAUACUGAAACAACGUGUAAAAUACUGAAACAAUAUUAUAUGUCAAUGGCCUCCAAGUCACAGCUAUUCUUGUUUCACAGGAAGUUCCCAGGUUCAUAUAGGAAGUCAGUUUUUAGAGUAAGGAGUUGAAUCUGGACUUCCAGUGCCUCUUAAGCACCAGAUCAUUCUUCCUCUGUAUGCAGAGUUAUUUUUGAGGAUCGGGAAUUAAGCAAAACCCAGCCUGCUGUUAGCUCAACCAACGCUCCCCAACUUUGGGGCAAAGGACUUUUGAAGAAAGAAAAAUCAAUUUGUGAAUGCUUCUGUUGUAUAUAAUUAUACCUUUUUAAUGUUUUUAAUACUGGAUCCCUUAUACAUGUACUUUUUUUGUUUUUUUAAAGUAGGUCUAUAGGCAAAAGAAAUAUCAUAAAUUUAUGUAUACAAAGAAAUUAUGUAGAUCUUGAGGCAGUAAGAAUCUCAAUGUAAGCAUGAUUAGUAAUAACCAUCUUAGACAGCAAGACUUUUUAAUGAAGUUUAUUUAAGUUAGUUUACUACAUGCUAUUUAAUAAUUUUGACACUGGAGGAAUAUUUUCUUUAAAAACAAAAUGUGAUACUUUUUUUUCUAACAGAUUAUAUGAUUUAAAGUGCAAUCUUUCGCAUGGUUACUCAAAAUAAAUCCUUCUGUGUCCAGUGGGGCUUAUUCCUUUGUAAGCAUGUUUUGGAUUGCAAACUUAACUUUUUAAAAUUAUUUUUUAAAAGUCUUAUGUUUGGUACAACCUGUAUUCUUCCUGAUCUGGAGAAUGUUAGCCAUCAGCUCCAUUGAACUAAAUGAACACUGGCUAGUCAUGACAACUAGUUAGCCAUUGAAUUCAAUGGAACAUCAGCAGAGUCCCCCUUCUCUGGAUUCAGGCCUUACUGGUUUAGUGUUAGAUGCUACAUGUUAUCAACUUGUUGUUUUUCCCCAAAAAAUGGAAAAAAAAAUGUUUUGUAAAUAGCUACCAGGAAAUAGUCCUAUAGAAAUUUCACUUGAAUCUCUCAUUAAGUUAUUAUUACUAUUAAUAUUGUGUAAGAAUAUUUGCAGUUGUUCAUUACAUCUCUGCUAAAGAUCUUAGCCUAAGAUCUAAGCCUUUGUUGAAGGAAUUGAUGUCGUAUUUUCAAGAUGAAAAAAACAAAAACCUUAGCUAGUUUGUCAUAAUCCUGUAUUCUGUAAACAAACAAAAGAAGCCUUUUUAUAAAGAGAGUCUACAUAGGCUUACAAGCAAUAAUAUAUUCCAUUUGGUGUGAAGAAUGUGAUGUGCAGAUGGCAGUGUAUACCAUGGAUAACAAUAUGUGAUGACAGAUUUAGUUUUUAGGGAUGUCAGGUUUGAUUAGGCCAUAUUAAUAUUGGCCAUUUGGUUAUUUUUUAACAGGGAAGUUGGGGUAGGUGCCAUACUGUUGGUUCUGUUCUACCUACUUGUGUAAGUCCAAUCACUGACCAUAAAAUAUAUGUAGUUGACUUUCAUGCUACAAUUGUCAAAAAGUUUCAAUAUAAAGCUCACCAAAUGUGUCAGAUCUCCUUGUUUUCAGAUAACUGUUGAGCAUUUGUCACAGUUUUUUCAGACACCGCCACUGCCAGUGUUUUGUAUUAUGAAUCUGAUGGCAGCUCUGCCCCCUAACGGGCCUGUUUGGCAAAGACACCUCGUUGAAGUUAAAGGGAGGUGGGCUGUAUUUUUCUUUUUUUUCCUGAGCUGCAGUUCCAUCCUUUAUUACUGUACAUGACACCAAAGCAGGGGAAUACAUGCACCUUUGUCAACGACAAGCACAGACUGAUGUGCAAAACAGAAUGCCACAAUGCUUGACUGUGCUGUCACAUAACGGCAAACAGUAUUAGGGAAUAUGUGUGGAGGUUUCCGCCAAAUGGCAGGAGCAGAAUCUGCUCUGCAUCCGCAUUAAGUUCAGUCCGGUGGAUAAAAUAAUUAGGCUGCAAUCAGUGCUAAAGUUUAGCUCCAGCAGGUGGGAGAGCGAAUGAGCAGGCAAGCUCAGAUGGAAACUCUCAAAUUGUAAAAGCGUUCCCACUCCCAGGGCUAGCGCUUGGUUCGUAAAAAGGCCCUUCCCCAACACUCCUAAGAAAUCUUGCAGAAAAUUAAUUUCCCUUGUUGAUUACAGAUCGGGCAACAAGCUAUGUUUGCAAUGCUAAACCUGGAACAGAGGUCAGCAAAUGAUGCUCAUAGGGCCACACCCAUUACUGUGCAUGGCUCCAUCUCUCCCCAUUACUAGUGAGGCCACUGCUAAUCCCAGAGGCAAAAGAUGGAUGUGGAUGAACAUUCCCCAGUCAGCACAACCAACCAAAGGCCCAUGCUGGUCACACCAGGGCUGUCAUUCUGUCUGGCAGUGUGUGAGUGGAUUGAUGGGAGACCUUUUUCCUUUUGCCUCUUCACAUAGCCACAGAACAUUAAUUAUGUUCCAUACUUUAAGUAUGGAGCUCACUGUGACAGGAUGUGGCAUGCACCUUCCCCUUACAUGGCCUUUUCAGACAGGGCCUAAACCAGAGCACAUUUGCUUGGUGAAAGGGCAUGACUAUAUCCAAGAUGUGGAAGGGGAAUUCCUGAAGCCACUGUACCCCCGCACAUCAUGCAUUCAUCUGAUGCUGAAGUUCACUGGCUUCAACAUCCUAAUUGGAUGAAUGCACCUUGGCCAAAAACCCAAUCUGCGCAGCACAUGUUGACUUGCAGUUACAUAUUAUGAAUUGCAUUUGCCUGUGUCCUGCUUCCCUUUCCACAUGGGCGUUAUGUUUUUACACACCAAACGUAGGAAGCUGCCUUAUCUCAAGUCACAGCAUGGGUCCAUUCAGCUCAGUAUCACCAGCACUGGCUCUCCAGGGUUUCAAGCAGUUGUCUCUCCUGGCCCUACCUGGAGGCGCUGAGGAUUAGAUUUAGGACCACCUGCAUGGAUGAAGAUGCUCUACCACAUAGUGUGGUCCUUCCCUUAACAGAAAGCCCAAGCCUAGAGCCAACAGAGGCUUGAAGGCAAUUUAAGUCUCGUGUAUGGAAAUGUUUUUAGAUGUGACUCACUUUCACAGGGAUUUAGUGAAGAUAAUCUUUUGCUGGGUUGUGCCCUCUAUCCCUGGGUGUUAAAAUAGUGCUACCUGCUACAUGUCCUCUCCUUUGCCAUGCCAAUCCUCAUAACGCAUGAAGUUUGCAAGAAUUUAACGAAAAAUGAAAACGGGCGGGCAACUAGAUAAUUAUCAACUGCAUGUUACCUGGGUCGGUAACCUUUUUGGAAUACAUUGCACAGGACAGGAUCUCUCGUAAAAGACCCCCAAAUCCAAGAAAAUGUCUCAUUUCUAACAAACCCCAUUGAAAUGUUCAUAAGGUGCAUGAACUUCCCUGUUUGGCAUCUUCUGUGGCAGGUUGCUCUGUAACAGUGCUGUACAUGUGGCAAAGUGUGACUUAGCACAUAGUGUCCAGCACACAUUAAUGUUGGAUGCUGUCUUUUGUCUUUAAAGGAAGAUACGGAUGCGCUGUUUUCUUUGUCUGUCAGUUUUAUCCAGACAAUACAAAAAAAUGGUUGGGUAAUUUGCAACUUAGUGUUAAGCUACUGAAACUGUUGAAAAUAAACAUUCUUCAUUUCUUUUCCUAAGUUGAAUCUGAGCCUUUUCAUUGAAUGCAUUUUAAAAAAAUAAAAUAAUGACGACGACGAUGAUUUAUUAAAUUUCUGCCCUGCCCUUCACCACGAACAAUUAAAAAAAUAACAAUAUUAAAAUCAGUUAAAGCAAAUUACAGUCACGAGAAUGGGGUGGGUACCAGAAAUAGAUGUCUUGGGUGUCCAAGGUCAGGGUAAAGCAUCUUCAGCAUACGACAAAAACUGAGUAAUGAAGGUGCUCGAUGCAUCUCUGUAGGAAGGCAAUUCCAUGGCUUCAGAGGCUGGCAAAGAGAAUGCCCCAAACUUCUGAGGACAAUGGAAGCAUCAAGAGGGACCCCUCUGUUGAUCAACUCCAUUAGGAAGGAGGGAGUCUUUCAGAUAACUGGGGCCUACAUCACUUUGGGUUUUAAACCCUUAUGUGAGCACCUUGAAUUGGACUUUGAACUACAGUGGUUACCUUGGUUCUUGAACUUAUUCUGUUCCAGGACUCCGUUAGACUCCUGGAACCAUUUGAAAACCAAGGUGUGGCUUCUGAUUGGCUGCAGGAGCUUCCUGUUCGUCUUCCGAAAAACAUUCACAAUCCGGAACACUUACUCCUGGGUUUGUAGCAUUCGGGAGCUGAUUUGUUCGACAACUAAGCCGUUCGAUAACCAAGGUACCACUGUAUUUUCCAGGGACCUUGAAGUUAGGGCACCAUACUAAAACACAUCGAAGAGAAGAUGUGCCUUUCUUUUUACCACUGAGUUGCAACCAGCUGGGAUCAGGGUGUCACAGAGUGAGUCAGUCAGUAAAUCACACCUCUUUACUAGCAAAAACACAAUCUUCACAGAACUUGUCGAGUGUCGGACCUAAUGAACACAGCAGUUCCUUCCCUGUCUUACUCCAGGAAAUCAGUUACCAAGACUAAAGGUUUCCCCACUGCCGUCUGUGUCUCCUCCUCCCCUGGGCUUUCCCCAAGCAAUCAGAGACUGCAUCUGCACAUCUAUCUAAGCUUCUCCCGUUUUAUGCCUCUUCUGGUCCUGGGAAGAGGGAGGGUAUCUGCCCUUUGCUUUCAUGGAAUAGGCUGUGAUCCUAAAUAAUUAGGCUUGUGUGGAACCAUUUACUAUUUUCUAAGCACUCAUACAAUCAAUGUUUUAUCAUUCUUCUACCCCCCCAUCACUCUGUAAGGGUCAUAUUUGGCCCCCAGGCAUGUAAGUCGACCCAACCGAAUCUAUGAUUUUGGGAUCUAAUUCAUUAGGAAAGUAACAGGGCUUAUGAUUGGUAAACACAACAUUUGGCUUAAUUCCAAAUCAGCCCAGGAUUCAUGGGCUUUAUCAGAGAACUUGUUGCAUUGACCAGAUAUUUCAAGGCUAAGUUUUUGCUCAAAUUAUGCCUACUGUUAAGCCACAGUGGUGGAAGACAAGGGCAAUCAAGUAGGUUGGGAGGAGAGAAACAAAGAGGGGACCCCAGGGUAUAGAAAUGGAAUGGCAGACAACGAGAAGAAGUGCCCAUAAGACUUACCCAUUGCUCAAAAGAUGUUUGUUUUUUUAAUGUAACCAAAGCAGAUUAUGGAAAAGUCACCAUCAGUUCCCCCAUCACCAACUUCCAAAUGGAGCAUCAGCUUCUGGCUGUUGCUAGGCAACUGGUGCCCUCCGCAUAAUAUCUCCUAGCAACCCAAGGACGGUGACAGCAACAAAUAAUAAACAAACAGGUGCCUUGACUUGAUGGCUUCUCACAUUCUCUAUGAAUGGCAGCCACUCUGUUUGUGAAACAAACGCUCAGCACUACAGAUGUCCCAGUUCAUCACUUCCUGCGGGGUCCCUGGCAUUACUUUCUGCACAGUUAAUUUGCAGCUUUUGUGCUCUGGUGUUCUCUGUGACGCAGGCUGAUCAGACAUGGUGAGCAAAUGUAGAAACCAGCCAACAGAAACAGUGAAGGAGCAAUCCAGGGCCUGAUCCUGCUCUCCAAAGUUUCUUUGUAGCUGCACUUUGGUGCUGAGCUUUUGUUUCCCAGGGCGUCUAAUAUAAAGAGUAAGGCUAACACCCAACUGAAGAAAGCUGAAGUCCUGGUCUACACCUUUAGCAGCAUGAGCUGGAAAGGAGAUGGCACAGAACUGGUGGUGGACGUAUGGAUGGCAUCACUUCAGGCUGAAGACAGGUGGGUAUGGAGAUUAUCUUUAAACACCUGUAAGAAAGGAACCCACCCUACAAUCACCCUACAGCAAGGAAGGUGAGGACCAUGAGAUUCUUUAUGCUCCACCUUGGUCACCAAGAUCCUCAGAUGGGGCACUUCUGGUGCUUCCCCAUACCCCUGAGGUUUGGUCUGAUGAUUUCAGGUACCUUCCUUGAACAUCUAUUAUUUUUCUUAGCGGACAGCACCAGUCCAAUUCUGGGGAGAAGUGAUGCAACAACAGCAGAAUGUGAAAACACCAAGAGAGACACAGCAAAGAGCUAACUCUUCCUCUUGACAGCCAAAUACCGCAUCUCGCGACACUGGGGCAGGGAAGGCACCCAGUUCCCUUUCCCUUUCUCCACCAGUGAGCCAACCACUGUAUCCAUCCUGCCUGUGGUUUCUGCAUAUGCUGCCUCAUGGAAGCCCUGAGCAGCAAUCAAUGUCAAUGAUCUCUCAGGGAUCACAGGACUUUCCUCCUACGUGCAUGUAGUCCUGAGUCUAAUCUGGAUGGUUUGGUUUUCUUUACACAGAGUUCGAAGGUGGUGAUUUGCAAUAAAGAUCUGGCUUCUAAUGCCACUAUUUUAUAA